GUCUGGGCCAGAGUCUUGCCUUGAGUCUCAUCUUUGGAGCCCAGUUUCCUCUUGGCAGGACCACGACAGGAAACCCGUGCAUGGCGAGGUCCCGCUCCCCACGGAAUGUGUGCUGUGAGGGCCUGAGAGCCAGAUGGAAAAUGCCUCCGAAGUCCUAAGCCAGGCUGGAAAGAUAGAUUGCUGAUAAUGAAGGUCACCCCUCCAUUUAGAGAAUAGUUGGCAGUGAAAUUAAUCCAGGCUCCUGCAUCUGAAGUGCUGGGAAAGUUAGCAAGGCUCAGGGGCUGAAAGGAAGGAAGCAGAGAUGAAGAGGAAGAAAGCUCUCUUCGCCUACAUUAUCUCAACCCUCCCAUCUUCAAAUCGAGGAAGUUUCCGUGAGGGGACUACGUCGCUUACACGCCUGCAAGAACUGAGAGGAGCCACCGCUUAGGAGCUGCUGGGGUCCGACGCCGAUGCAGAUCCAAACCUUCCCUCUAGAUGACCUCACUUAUCUCCUGGACUUGUCAUCAAUAAUUGGAGUUGGCAGAGAAAUGGCCCCACAAAGAUAACCACAUCUUCCGCUCUGCAACCUGUGGUUACUUAGCCUGCCACGGAAAAAGGGAGUUGGCGGGUGCGAUUAUUUAAGAAUCUUGAGAUGAGGAG
ensembl:lncRNA